GGCUGAUCCAAAGGUAGUGAGUUAUCUCAAUUGAUUGUUCACAGUCAGUUACAGAUCAAACUCCUUGUUCUACUCUUUCUGCUCUUGUCAUUACUGCACUUGACUAGUCUAAG
ensembl:misc_RNA Y_RNA Y RNA